UAUUUUUCAAUGUAAUUAGGUUCUGAAUUUUUUUUGCCUGGCCUUUUGGAUUCCCGUCGAAUCCUUACCCCGUGUAUCAGGGAAGAGAAACCUCUUCCUAAACCCACGAUCUCACCAAAAAAACCCAACCAAGAACCUAGAACCUAACUUCAAUUAGGUAUCUCACAUUAGUCUUCUCAUCAUACCAAAAAAACCCUCACCACCGUUACUCAUAUUCCCUUCUCCAUCUUGCUAAUUCUUCUACGUUUGUGGUUUGGUUGGAACUUCCACCGCUACCGCAACCACCGUCUCCACCACCACGUACAACCACCAUCUCCACCACCAGUUCUUCAGCUCUUGUAAUUUUAGGGUGGGAGGUUGGGAACCGACGGCGAGGUCAAGAGAAUCGGGCACUGCUCUUCUUCGAGAAAUCGGACUUGGAGCUCAGGAUGAACGAUCCAUCGAACGGGACGUAUAAACUACGGUUGAGGUACGAAGAAGAUCAUGGGAUGCCUUAGAGUGAGGAUGCAACCAUCAAAUUCACGAUCGUUGUUUAGUAAAGAUAACUAUGUCAUUAGUAAUAAAAGGAUGUAUUAAUUAAAUUCUAAGUUUGAUUUCAUGAUUUGAGUUAGAUUUUAA